rnacentral:rRNA from 1 species
AAUAGAUACCCUGGUAGUCCACGCUGUAAACUAUGGAUACUAGGUGUCCGGAUGUCUAACCGUCUGGGUACCAAAGCUCACGCAUUAAGUAUCCCGCCUGGGGAGUACGGUCGCAAGGCUAAAACUCAAAGGAAUUGACGGGGGCCCGCACAAGCGGUGGAGUAUGUGGUUUAAUUCGAAGCAACGCGCAGAACCUUACCUGGGCUUAACAUCCUCUGACAACCACAGAGAUGUGGUGUUCCCUUCGGGGACAGAGAGAUAGGUGCUGCAUGGCUGUCGUCAGCUCGUGUCGUAAGAUGUUCGGUUAAGUCCGGCAACGAGCGCAACCCUUGCCCUUAGUUACCACCAUUAAGUUGGGGACUCUAGGGGGACCGCCGGUGUUAAACCGGAGGAAGGCGGGGAUGACGUCAAGUCCUCGUGGCCCUUAUGUCCAGGGCUACACACGUACUACAAUGGCAGAAACAAACCGACGCAAUACCGCGAGGUGGAGCAAAUCGGAAAACACUGUCUCAGUCCGGAUUGAAGUCUGCAACUCGACUUCAUGAAGUUGAAUCG